rnacentral:rRNA from 1 species
UAGGGAAUCUUCCGCAAUGGGCGCAAGCCUGACGGAGCAACGCCGCGUGAGUGAUGAAGGUCUUCGGAUCGUAAAACUCUGUUAUUAGGGAAGAACAAACGUGUAAGUAACUGUGCACGUCUUGACGGUACCUAAUCAGAAAGCCACGGCUAACUACGUGCCAGCAGCCGCGGUAAUACGUAGGUGGCAAGCGGUAUCCGGAAUUAUUGGGCGUAAAGCGCGCGUAGGCGGUUUUUUAAGUCUGAUGUGAAAGCCCACGGCUCAACCGUGGAGGGUCAUUGGAAACUGGAAAACUUGAGUGCAGAAGAGGAAAGUGGAAUUCCAUGUGUAGCGGUGAAAUGCGCAGAGAUAUGGAGGAACACCAGUGGCGAAGGCGACUUUCUGGUCUGUAACUGACGCUGAUGUGCGAAAGCGUGGGGAUCAAACA